GAUGAACGCUGGCGGCGUGCCUAAUACAUGCAAGUCGAGCGAACAGAUAAGGAGCUUGCUCCUUUGACGUUAGCGGCGGACGGGUGAGUAACACGUGGGUAACCUACCUAUAAGACUGGGAUAACUUCGGGAAACCGGAGCUAAUACCGGAUAACAUUUGGAACCGCAUGGUUCUAAAGUGAAAGAUGGUUUUGCUAUCACUUAUAGAUGGACCCGCGCCGUAUUAGCUAGUUGGUAAGGUAACGGCUUACCAAGGCGACGAUACGUAGCCGACCUGAGAGGGUGAUCGGCCACACUGGAACUGAGACACGGUCCAGACUCCUACGGGAGGCAGCAGUAGGGAAUCUUCCGCAAUGGGCGAAAGCCUGACGGAGCAACGCCGCGUGAGUGAUGAAGGGUUUCGGCUCGUAAAACUCUGUUAUUAGGGAAGAACAAACGUGUAAGUAACUGUGCACGUCUUGACGGUACCUAAUCAGAAAGCCACGGCUAACUACGUG
rnacentral:rRNA from 1 species